rnacentral:rRNA from 1 species
UACGAAGGGGGCUAGCGUUGUCCGGAAUCACUGGGCGUAAAGCGCACGUAGGCGGCUUGUUAAGUCAGGGGUGAAAUCCUGGAGCUCAACUCCAGAACUGCCUUUGAUACUGGCGAGCUUGAGUUCGGGAGAGGUGAGUGGAACUGCGAGUGUAGAGGCGAAAUUCGUAGAUAUUCGCAAGAACACCAGUGGCGAAGGCGGCUCACUGGCCCGAUACUGACGCUGAGGUGCGAAAGCGUGGGGAGCAAACAGG